UAUCCGUUGAUGCUCCUGUUGUGUUGCACUAUAUAAAUUCAAUGUGAGAAAAACAUGCAAUACUUCGUUAGUUAUGUGAUUGCAUAAUAUAGUGUUGGACAUACAAAGUAAUUUGACUAUUUAGGCAUAACAUCAAAUCUUCAUGCCAAAUUCAUCCUUUAUGCAUUGCCAGAGGGAGUCUCUGCAUUCAGAAUAGUUGUUUACAUAUAGAAACAUAGGAACGUGUGUGAGACAUCUACUGCAUUAGUGCACGAUUGCCUCGACAGUAACAAGUGCGCUGAGUAGUCCAAGGUUAUCGCAUAUUUGGCCAACAAUUGUGGCAAUCCUUUUUGAUUGCCAGGUCUAGCACUCCCGUUUUGCUAAGUAUGUGACACAUGAUUCACAUUCUUCCUUUGCUGUCCGUGAUUUUGCAGGCUCCUCGUCGUCGGGUUCCCCGGAGCAGUACCCGUCACUCGUGUCCAUGCGUGGCCAGCUUUAUUCGUGCCGGGAGUGCUCUUACGUGACCAAAUUCAAGUGCAACAUGCACAGACACCUGCGCACACACACAGGCGAGCGCCCUUUCUGGUGCCACCUAUGCCCGGAAAAAUUCCCUCACAGAAGCAACCUCACGCGGCAUCUGCGCAGCCACACAGGACAGCGUCCCUUUUCCUGCAUUCACUGCGGUGCGUCCUUCUCGCGCAAGUACAAUCUCUCCUGCCACAUGUCCCGUCACACAGGGAAGAAGCCCUAAAGCUUCCACAGCCUGUCUGUGUAAUCCGGUGACUUCAAAGAGUACAAAGCUACAUGCACAGCUUUGAAGGUGACAGUCAAGACCACAGCUGAAGCCUCUUCCAGAAUUACAACAACUAGCAGCGUACGACCUGCCUGACAACUUGCUUCCACAGACAUUCUUCUUUCCGGAGCCUGCCAACCAGGAGUGACAUGCGAUAUCAGUGCAUGUGCUAGUAGCUUAAAUUUGUAACAAAGCCUUGAGAUGUAAUCCUUCCUCUAUGGGUAUUUGCCUGAUGUAUCCUGUAAAAUCCUUUUUUCUGUGGAGUAGAAUGAAUGUAUAAGUCGCACAUAUGGGUACUAUUGAGAUGUUUCUUCUAAGUGAACCUGUAGGUUUGCUUUGUCAUGCCUCAGGUUUAUUGGGCUAUGGCCUGAGGUAUAUAUCUAUGUUUUGUCAAAGCCUAAUGGGUCUAGCCAGGCUUGCAGUGGGAGCAUAGACACUAACUGUGCCUUGUAUACUGCUGUGCCUUCAGUCCUUAUCCAAUCACACAAAACACACAUAUGUAGUGUACUGCAUUAUCUUAUAGCUGGUCAUUUGACAUAAUAAGCUUUUACUAAGGUACAUUUAAUUUUUUUCUGGGCUCUAAAUGUCUAUCGUCAUGGUUGUCCAUGAGAGGGAAGUUUGCAGCUGCCUCUUGGAACACAAUUUAUUUGCUAGUGACUUACAGGCAACAAAAACAGGGGAUAUAUGCAUGCUUUGCUGAUUUAAACAUUGGCCUUCUGUCUUCUAUGUUUUUAGCAAAGCAAGUGGAAAUCUGUAGUCAAAUUUAUGGUGACUACACCGAAUACUAAUCUGCCAAAAGUAACACAUGGGCAAGAAGCACUGAAAUAUGUGCAGUGUUUCCAUUGUAUAAUAGUGAUACCAAGUGCAUUUUCUUCUUUAAUUAGCUUAUACAGGUUUACCUGGAGUGGUGGGCAUUUAGGAUUAUUAUUAUGAAGAGAGGGAAGUCAGAAAAGUCAAUUUUAAUUCAUUUUUUAUUUAAACAUACCUUACAGGCCCAAAAGGGAAUUGAUUAAGGGGGUGUUAGUCAUUACAAUCACAGCACAAGCAAACACUUAAGCAACAGGUUUACAAAGUAAGUGAACAAGAAAUGCAACAAAUUAAAUCGCAAAAAUACCUUGCAAAAUCAACUACCAAAAAAAAAAAGGUUCUAACGCAAGUGAACAAAAACACAACAGAAUACAUUUGCGACAUAAGCAAUGAAAAAGAGUUAACUGCAAGUGAAGAAGAAAACACAACACAUCACAAAAUAAAGUGAUAGCUUAAACGACGAAACCACGUUGCAGCUGCUAUUGCAAAAAACGUACCUCAAGCUUGUGGCGAAACGUAUUUGGGUUAUUAUCAGAGACGAUAUCAUCGGGAAGAUCAUUCCACAUGUGGAUGGCUUGUGGAAGUGUGCGUGUGUUAAAAGCGUUCGUGCUACCAAACAUGUCUGUGAAGCUGAGGUAAUUAUGUAGACUGCGAGACGUGUAAAGGGGGCGUUGUGAUAUAAUGGGUCUGAUAUAGUGCUUCCAUUUGGUGUCCUUUCACAUUACGGUUAUCAUUACAUGAUUGUGCUUUCAUGUUAGCAAUGCUUGGGACUUUUUUUGAUCCAACAACAGACUGUGUUAUCUGGCUUCAAACAGCACCUUCUUGCAUUGUAUAAUGUACGUUACAGUUGUAAAGUUGGCUCCUUGUACCGCAUUAUUUUCACUUUUCAUUUUACUUGUAAUCAUUGUCAUUACUGUAGUACUGUAGGGUGCACCUCGAAUUUUUCUGUUUCGCUGUUAGAGAACCCAGUAUUGUUUACAUUUUUUUU